rnacentral:rRNA from 1 species
UACAGAGGGUGCGAGCGUUGUUCGGAAUUAUUGGGCGUAAAGGGCGCGUAGGCGGUGCGGUAAGUCACCUGUGAAAUCUCCUGGCUCAACUGGGAGCUUGCAGGCGAAACUGCCGUGCUGGAGUGUGGGAGAGGUGCGUGGAAUUCCCGGUGUAGCGGUGAAAUGCGUAGAUAUCGGGAGGAAGGCCGGUGGCGAAGGCGGCGCUCUGGAACAUUUCUGACGCUGAGGCUCGAAAGCGUGGGGAGCAAACAGG